AUUGAACGCUGGCGGCGUGCCUUACACAUGCAAGUCGAACGGCAGCACGGGAGCAAUCCUGGUGGCGAGUGGCGAACGGGUGAGUAAAGUAUCGGAACGUGCCCAGUCGUGGGGGAUAACGUAGCGAAAGUUACGCUAAUACCGCAUACGAUCUAUGGAUGAAAGCGGGGGAUCGCAAGACCUCGCGCGAUUGGAGCGGCCGAUAUCGGAUUAGGUAGUUGGUGGGGUAAAGGCUCACCAAGCCGAGGAUCUGUAGCUGGUCUGAGAGGACGACCAGACACACUGGGACUGAGACACGGCCCAGAGUCCUACGGGAGGCAGCAGUGGGGAAUUUUGGACAAUGGGCGAAAGCCUGAUCCAGCCAUGCCGCGUGCAGGAUGAAGGCCUUCGGGUUGUAAACUGCUUUUGUACGGAACGAAAAGGUUUGGCCUAAUAAGCUGAGCUCAUGACGGUACCGUAAGAAUAAGCACCGGCUAACUACGUGCCAGCCGCCGCGGUAA
rnacentral:rRNA from 1 species